UACGGAGGGGGCUAGCGUUGUUCGGAAUUACUGGGCGUAAAGCGCGCGUAGGCGGACCUGCAAGUCGGGGGUGAAAGCCCGAGGCUCAACCUCGGAACUGCCUUCGAUACUGCGGGUCUCGAGUCCGGGAGAGGUGAGUGGAAUUCCUAGUGUAGAGGUGAAAUUCGUAGAUAUUCGCAAGAACACCAGUGGCGAAGGCGGCUUACUGGUCCGGUUCUGACGCUGAGGAGCGAAAGCAUGGGGAGCGAACAGG
rnacentral:rRNA from 1 species